UCCUACGGGGGGCAGCAGUGAGGAAUAUUGCGCAAUGGGCGAAAGCCUGACGCAGCAACGCCGCGUGAGGGACGAAGGCCUUCGGGUCGUAAACCUCUUUUCUGAGGGACGAGCAAGGACGGUACCUCAGGAAUAAGUCUCGGCUAACUACGUGCCAGCAGCCGCGGUAAAACGUAGGAGGCGAGCGUUAUCCGGAUUUACUGGGCGUAAAGCGCACGCAGGCGGCUCGGCAAGUUGGACGUGAAAGCUCCUGGCUUAACUGGGAGAGGCCGUUCGAGACUACCGGGCUUGAGGUUGGGAGAGGGGUGUGGAAUUCCCGGUGUAGUGGUGGAAUGCGUAGAGAUCGGGAGGAACACCUGUGGCGAAAGCGGCACCCUGGCCCACACCUGACGCUGAGGUGCGAAAGCGUGGGGAGUAAACAGGAUUAGAUACCCCGGU
rnacentral:rRNA from 1 species